rnacentral:rRNA from 1 species
GACGAACGCUGGCGGCGUGCUUAACACAUGCAAGUCGAACGAGAAUCUACUGAAAGAGUUUUCGGACAAUGGAAGUAGAGGAAAGUGGCGGACGGGUGAGUAACGCGUGAGGAUCCUGCCUUGAAGAGGGGGACAACAGUUGGAAACGACUGCUAAUACCGCAUGAAGCAUAGGGGUCGCAUGAUUCUUAUGCCAAAGAUUUAUCGCUUCAAGAUGGCCUCGCGUCUGAUUAGCUGGUUGGCGGGGUAACGGCCCACCAAGGCGACGAUCAGUAGCCGGACUGAGAGGUUGAACGGCCACAUUGGGACUGAGAUACGGCCCAGACUCCUACGGGAGGCAGCAGUGGGGAAUAUUGGGCAAUGGGCGCAAGCCUGACCCAGCAACGCCGCGUGAAGGAAGAAGGCUUUCGGGUUGUAAACUUCUUUUAAGAGGGAAGAGCAGAAGACGGUACCUCUAGAAUAAGCCACGGCUAACUACGUG